rnacentral:tmRNA from 1 species
GGGCUUGUACUGGUUUCGACGGGGACACGGAAGUUAGAGUAGCCAUCCGUAGUGGGACACUACGUUAAAAGUUCCAAAUUAAAUUAUAAACGCAGACGAAAAUUUAGCGUACGCAGCCUAGUGGCUGCAGUCGACCUUAGGUAUUCCGCAGCUUAAGACUCGGCUUCAAGAACGCGGAGCACUUUGUACUCAAAGCUUUGCGAGUAUAAAAGAAUUUAUGAAGCUACUAAAUCUUAAAACCUGUCAUUAGGUGUUAAGAAGAGGGAAUGUCAAAAUAAUGACUAUGAUGGAAGAAGCUUUAAUGAAAGAGUUUUCGGACGCGGGUUCGACUCCCGCCAGGUCCAU